rfam:Picea glauca, whole genome shotgun sequence.
ACAUUCUUACAACAUAGAGUUAAUGCAUCAUAUUCCAUUAGAACUCUAUAGUUAAGCAUGCUUGAGAUAGAGUAGUACUGGGGUGGGUGACCGCCUGGGAAGUCCUAGUGUUUUGCAUGUC